rnacentral:lncRNA from 1 species
GCCCACGGCUGUAAAAUCAGUGCAACUCCCAGGGCUUCUUACUGCACCAUCCCUCUGCGUCCCACUCCCCACCCUCUGGCCUGUCUUCUCACUGGCAAGCCCUCCUUGGGUGUCUGGUUCCUAUGUGGGCAACACUUACCUCUGUGUGCUGGUGACCCGUGGAGCUUCCAGAACAAUGUGUGCAGUCCGGAGCUGACCCCCCUGCCACCCCAACAGGGGCUACCUGGGCACUGCACUCCCCAGGCUUCCCUCCUCAUCCCUCAGCAGGGGCAUUGUGGGGGUGUGAGCACACAUGCUCGGCAGGUGCUGGAUCUGUGCUGGGCUUCUGAGCAUCAGAGGCCCCAAUGUGCCCCUCCAGGCUUCCUAGUCACCUCCAUUGGGCACAGCAGGAAGCCCCCAGGCUGGGGCAGGGGCAGGAGUUCAGAUGGAGACAGGCAGUUCAGCAGCCAAAGUCCCCAUUGUAACAGGCGCUGCUUUCCACCAGUGUGUAGCACCUGGUGGUGGGGACACCCAGAGGGGCCUGGGUGGGAGACCCCCACACCUGCUCCCACCUGCUCACUGACCUCCUGCCUGUCCCUAUGGGGGUCUCUAGCCACCUGUGUACAACAGAGGGGGAAUCAGACUGUGGCCACCCUCUCUAGACCUGCACCCCGUUCCUUUCUGCAGCCGGACGGGCUGGCCAAGAGCAACCGAUUGUGGAGGGACAGGUGCGUGCCAGACGUGAGCAGAGAAGACAGACGCAGGUGUGGCUGUGGGCAGGGCGGCCUCUCUAAGGUCCCCAGGAGUAGUGGGGGAUCUGUUUGCAGGACAGAGUCAUGGGAAGCCUGGGCCAGCCAGGCAGGUCCUGCCAGUGGGGAAGGAGGUGGCUGCUCCCACGGCUGGGCCAGAGGUGUCCCUGAUGUCCGUAGAUGGUGCUGGGAACCAAGAAAGCAGCUGCUCUUCCUCCUUCACACACGGAUCGAGUUCCGCAGCAGCCGGAGGCCGCGGACGUGAGACACCAGCUGACGCCCAGAGCCUCACAACCCCUGGACCCUGGACGCACAUUCUCCCAGGGCCGGUGCCUGGAAACAAAGGCCACCCUCGCCAGCCGGAAACUUCUAGGCUGGCAAUGGAGAUGGAACAUCCGAUGACCCCCUCUGUAUCCUCCUCUCCCCUGGGGUCCUCCAGGAAGACCUGCGUGGUCAAUGACCCACUUUGUUUUGUUUUGUUUUUGAGAUGGUGUCUUGUUGUGUCUCCCAGGCUGGGGUGCAGUGGUGCGACCUCGCUCCGGGGUUCCAGCGAUUCUCCUGCCUCAGCCUCCCAAAGUGCUGGGAUUAAGGCGUGAACCACGCACCAGGCCAAUUUUUGUAUUUUUAAUGGAGACAGGGUUUCACCAUGUUGGCCAGGCUGGUCUUGAACUCCUGACCUCAGGUGAUCCACUUGCCUCAGCCUCCUACAGUGCUGAGAUUACAGGCGUGAGCCACUGCACCCGGCUUCAAUGACCCACUUGUCCACUGCCCUGCACUUACAUCCUCAGGCAGCUGGAGCCACCUUCGGCAGGAAGCCCUCCCCCUACCACCCACUCACCCACAGGCGGGGCUUCCCCUUGGGUUGCCAUUGACCUUGUGGUCGGCAGGGCACCCGGUGCUCCCAGGUGUGUCUCCCUGCGUGGCCCAUGAGCUCUUCUGUGUGGUGCUCAGAAAUGCUGCUGGGCAGUUUUACUGAAGUUUGUACAUAUAUGAUUCGAUGAGUUUGGCAAACGACCCAGCCGUCAGGAUGCGUGAGAAUUCCUACCACCCUGGACCUGCAGCCACCCCUCUGUCUUCUGUAGCUACAGUUUUGCCUUUUCUAGAAUGUCAUAGAAAUAGAAUCAUAUAGCACAUGGCUUUCUGAGGCCGGAUUCUUUCACUUGGCCUAAUGUGUCUGAGAUUCGCCCACAUCUCGGCCACGCUCCCCGGCCCGCUCUGGUCACGGCUGAGUCGUGUUCCCCGUGUGGGUGCACCACAGCCUGUCUGUCCAGUCAGCACCCAAGGACAAAGGGUUCUUUCCACUUCUUGGGUGCUACAAAUGAAGUGGCUAUGAACAUUUGCAUGCAAGUUGUGUGUGGCUGUAAGUUUUCAUUUUUCAUGGGAAAAUACCUGUAAGUGGCAUUGUUGGAUUGCACAGUAACGGUGUGUUUAAUUUUAUAAGAAACUGACAGACUGGUUUCCAAAGCAUCAUUUUGCACUCCCAUCUGCAACGUCUGUGCGUUCCAGGUGCUGUGCAUCUUCUAAAUUUUAGUCAUUCUUUUUUUUUGAGGCAGGGUCUCACUCUGUUGCCCAGGCUGGAGGGUAGUGGCUCUAUGACAGCUCACUGCAGCCUCCAUCUCUCCGGUUCAAGCAAUUCUCCCACCUCAGCCUCCCAAGGAGCUGGGACUACCAGUGUGGAGUCCUGGUGGGUAGCCAUGCCUGGCUAUUUUAUUUUUUAUAGAGACAGUGUGUUAGGCUGUUCUUGUGUUGCUAUAAAUACCUGAGACUGGGUAGUUUAUUUUAAAAAGAGGUUUAAUUGGCUUAUGGUUCUACAGGCUGUAAAGGAAGCGUGGCAUCAGCAGGCUGUAAAGGAAGCGUGGCAUCAGGAAGCUUCCAAUCACGGCGGAAGGCAAAGGGAGAGCAGGGGUCUCACACGGCAGAAGCAGGAGCAAGAGAGAAUGGGAGGGGAGGCACCACACACUUAACCAGAUCUCACAAAUACCAUUACAAGGACAGCACCAAGCCACGAGGAAUCCACCCCAUGACCAAAACAUCUCCCACCAGGCUCCAUCUCUAACACUGAAGAUUCCAUUUCAACAUGAUGUCUGGGCGGGGACAAAUAUCCAAACUAUAUCAGAUGGGGUCUUUUUUUUUUUUUUUUUUUUUUUUGAGACAGAGUCUCGUCUCGCUCUGUCGCCCAGGCCGGAGUGCAGUGGCACGAUCUCGGCUCACUGUAAGCUCCACCUCCUGGGUUCACGCCAUUCUCCUGCCUCAGCCUCCCGAGUAGCUGGGACUACAGGCGCCCGCCAACACGCCCAGCUAAUUUUUUUGUAUUUUUAGUAGAGAUGGGAUUUCACCCAGAUGGGGUCUUGCUAUGCUGCCCAGGCUGGUCUCAAAUUCCUGGGCUCAAGCUGUCUUCCCGCUUUGGCCUUCCAAAGUGCUGGAAGUAGUAGCAUGAGCCACCGCACUUCGCAGCUUGUCAAUUAAAAAAAAAAAAUUAAAAGAAAAUUUAAAAAAUAUAAUUAAAAUUAAACUGAUUACUUAGACAUUUUAAAGUCUCACUCAAUAUGUUGAGAGAUACAUAAUAGUUUUCUGUGUACAGGUCUCAUGCAAAUUCUGUUAAAUUUACCCCUAGUAUUUUGUGGUUUUUAAAUUCUCUUUUUAAGUGGUACUGUUUUCAUAAUUUCAAUUUCUAAUUGAUUGUUAGUACACAAAUAGAACUGACCUUUUUUUGGCUUUGUACCUUGUGGCUUUGGUAAACUUGCUUAUUCAUUUUAGUACCAGUUUGUAGCUUAGAAUUUUCUGCAGACAAUAAUGUUAUCUUCUUGUUUUGAGACAGAGUUUCGCUCUUGUUGCCCAGGCUGGAGUGCAAUGGCACGAUCUCAGCUAAUUGCAACCUCUGCCUCGUGAGUUCAAGCGAUUCUCCUGCCUGAGCCUCCUGAGUAGCUGGGAUUACAGGUGCCCGUCACCAAGCCCAGCUAAUUUUUGUAUUUUUAGAAGAGACAGGGUUUCACCAGGUUGGCCAGGCUGGUCUCGAACUCCUGACCUCAGGUGAUCUGCCCUCCUCGGCCUCCCAAAGUGCUGGGAUUACAGACGUGAGCCACCGUGCCCGGCCAUUAAUGUCAUCUUCUAAUAAAGAUCACCUAAAAUUUCUUUUUCAACUGGUACAAAUUUUGUUUUCCUUGCCUCAUUACUUGGGCAUGUCCUCUGGCACAACACUGAAAUAAGCGGUGACAAUGGACAACCGUGCCCUGUCCCUGACCCAAGGAAAAGCUUUCAGUUUCUCACCACUAAGCGUGACGUUAGCUGUGGGUUUUUGUAGUUUCCCUUUGUCAGGUUGGGAGUGCAGGAGUAGAACAGAUUCGAAUCUUCUCCUCCUGGUUUACUGAAAGCUUUUGUCGUGAAUGAGUGUUGAAUUUUGUAGAAUGCUUUCCUCGUGUCUAUGGAAAUGACCGUGUGGUUUUUCGGUGUCAGUCUGCUAACAGUGAACGACAAUUGAUUUUGAAAUGUUAAACUAACUUUGCAUUCCUGGGUAAGCUCCACAAGGUCGUAUGUGUCCUCUUUAUAUAUUGCUGGAACUGAUUUGACGUUUUGUUAAGGGAUUUUUGCGUCUAGGCUCCUGAGUGGACUUUAAUUUUCUUGUCAUGUCCUCGUCUGGUUUUGGCACCACGGUGAUGACGGCUUCACACAGAAGCUGGGAAGUGGCCCGUCUUCCUCUGUGUCCUGGAAGCGUCUAUGUAGCAGGGUGCUUUUCCUCCAUUAGUGUUUGGUGGGCUCCACUGGUGAGUCUUGGCCUGGACUUCUUUAUGAGACUGGGCCCUUUCCUAACUCUGGCAACAGACCUUUGUGCUCAAGAGCCCUGGCUCCCUCGGGGCUCCUGCCCCCACCUUACACGUGACGGAGGGGGACCAAGGGCUGUGGCAUCACUGUCCUGAGUGCCUCCUGGCUGGCCACACCCUGGCACACCCCCUCCUGGAGCACCCCAGCACCAGACCCGCUGGACGGAAGGGCAGUUGUCCUGUUGACCCCCACGAAGAUGGGGGCAGGGAGGGCACGGUGUGCCAUCGAUAAAGCGUUGAGUCUGGGGUUUUGUGCAGCACAUUCAAGAGGGGACAGCAGGAGGGCCGAGGGAGGCUGGGAGGGCAAUUUGAGGAUGGGCACUCAGAGGCUGAAGGCUGAGUAGCCCCUAGUGCCUGGAGGACACGCAGCGGGCCAGAAGAGAGGCCCCAGACUGAGCCCCAGAGGCCACCAAUGGCACAGGUUGCUCAAACACAGACAGGGAAGAAAAGACCUCAGGGCUGCAGCAAGGGGUGGGAGAGGGAUGCAAGCUGGCAAGGAAGUGGGAAGGAAGAAAGCAAGAAUUUUGGCCACUGGAGCAGCCGGAUGCAAAUGGUCAAUAGAGCAAAAUGCUGCUGAGGACACCACAAAGCUGCGUCUGACUCUGCUGCAGGCUGGGAGGCCAGGUGACCGUGGCAGCAGAGAGAAGGCACCUCGGGCCAAGUGCCCCUGCCCUCUGGCUGUGGCCUGACGCCCUCUCCUGGUCCUGCACACCCUCGGCCUCUGUUGGCACCUGGACCAGACCACUCCCAGUCAGCCUCCAGCCAGAUGUCACUGCUUGAUAGUUUCUCCAGCUGGAGGUCCCAAACACUCUAAAUUCGGCUAAAAAUGCCUGCUGCCCCCCCACACAGCAGCAGCAGCCGGGGCGGGGGAGGGGGGCCCUCUGCCUCUGUCCCAUGCUCUCAGCCCCCCUUCCCUGCCCCCACUGGCAGGGCCCUGACUGUUCACGCUCAGAGGCCCCAGGAUUAGGCAGGGAGGACCCUUAGCCCACAGCAGUUGAAGGGGAGCAGGGCGGGGGCGUGCCGGCCGAGAGUGGACAGGCACUUUGGGGCCCACUGCCCUUCCCCAGUUGGAAAUGCGGACAGCCCAAAGAGCAGGAGGGCGCACCGGGAAGGCCCUGCAGUUUCCUGAGCUCAUACAGGCUUCCCAGGGUGGGGAGCGGGCCACGGUCAGCAACAGUGUG